UACAGAGGUCCCAAGCGUUGUUCGGAUUCACUGGGCGUAAAGGGUGCGUAGGUGGUGAGGUAAGUCGGAUGUGAAAGCUCGGAGCUCAACUCCGAAAUGGCAUUGGAAACUACCUUGCUCGAGGGUUGGAGGGGGGACUGGAAUACUUGGUGUAGCAGUGAAAUGCGUAGAUAUCAAGUGGAACACCAGUGGCGAAGGCGAGUCUCUGGACAUUUCCUGACGCUGAGGCACGAAAGCCAGGGGAGCAAACGGG
rnacentral:rRNA from 1 species